AACGCAUAUUGCGGUCGAGGCUUCGGCCAAGACCAUGUCUGCCUCAGCGUCGGGUUAAUACUCGCCUUCUCAAUCCCUUGUGGGUUGACAAGCGCGGAUCUGGCUUUCCCGGGUAAUUGAUUUAUCAGUUAUCCGGGUCAGCUGAAGCACAGAGGUUGAUGCAUGGACCCGCUAAUGGGCCUCUACUGGGUAGGCAACUCGUUGCUAAAUGCUUUAGUAGAUGGCUUGGGGACGGCGUCGGCCCAAACCAGGAAUUCUCUCCUUGCGAGAGAAAACCCCCUCUAUUUUCUCGACCUGAGCUCAGGCAAGAACACCCGCUGAACUUAA
rnacentral:misc_RNA from 1 species